UACGUAGGGGGCAAGCGUUGUCCGGAAUCAUUGGGCGUAAAGAGCGCGUAGGCGGUCCGGUAAGUCGGUUGUGAAAACUGGGGGCUCAACCCUCAGAGGCCGACCGAUACUGCUGGGCUGGAGCACUGUAGAGGCAGGCGGAAUUCCGGGUGUAGCGGUGGAAUGCGUAGAGAUCCGGAAGAACACCGGUGGCGAAGGCGGCCUGCUGGGCAGUUGCUGACACUGAGGCGCGACAGCGUGGGGAGCAAACAGG
rnacentral:rRNA from 1 species